rnacentral:rRNA from 1 species
CACGUAGGGCGCAAGCGUUAUCCGGAAUGAUUGGGCGUAAAGCGUCCGCAGGUGGCUGUGUAAGUCUGCUGUCAAAGAGCGAAGCUCAACUUCGUAAAGGCAGUGGAAACUACACGGCUAGAGUGCGUUCGGGGCAGAGGGAAUUCCUGGUGUAGCGGUGAAAUGCGUAGAGAUCAGGAAGAACACCGGUGGCGAAGGCGCUCUGCUAGGCCGCAACUGACACUGAGGGACGAAAGCUAGGGGAGCGAAUGGG